UAUAAAUCCAGCUUAGAGGUUACUAGCCGCUCCUCGAUGGUAAAGCCAGGUCUAGAGACACUCCAUGUGUCGAUUGGGGCCAGGGAUAGUAUUGGGAUUUUGCUGGGUUACCACGCUCCCCACGACCCAGCCACUUCCCUUCUGGAGCUGGCCGACUUCGUCUCCACGGCACUGUUGGGAUCCCCGAGGCUUCUGGUCUUGGGUGGUUUCAACGUGCACACUGGGACAGAGACUUCUGGGCCAGCUCUUGAGUUCUUGGAAACCAUGGCUUCCUUGAACAUGUCCCAACAUAUCAACGCCCCCACCCACGUGGGUGGCCACACGUUGGACCUGGUAUUUUCCUCUAGUUGGAGCGAGUGUGAUCUGAUGGUGACGGACCUUGUGUCAGUCCCCUUGUCAUGGUUAGAUCACGACCUAAUAAAAUGUAACCUCACAGUGGCUCGCCCCCCUCGCAGGGAGCAAGGACCUAUUUCCAUGGUCCACCCUCGAAGACUACUGGAUCCUCUUGGAUUCCAGGAUGUCAUGAGAGGGAUUACGGCAGACCUGGCUAGCGCUCCUGUCGAUGCUCUAGUGGACAGCUGGUCCAUUGCUGCCACCAGGGCCAUAGACAUGAUUGCGCCUAAAUGCCCUCUCCUCCGUAGAGCUUGGCCUGCGCCCUGGUUUAACCAGAACAUUCGAGCAAUAUGGUUAGAUCACGACCUAAUAAAAUGUAACCUCACAGUGGCUCUCCCCCCUCGCAGGGAGCAGGGACCUAUUUCCAUGGUCUGCCCUCGAAGACUACUGGAUCCUGUUGGAUUCCAGGAUGUCAUGAGAGGGAUUACGGCAGACCUGGCUAGCGCUCCUGUCGAUGCUCUAGUGGACAGCUGGUCCAUUGCUGCCACCAGGGCCAUAGACAUGAUUGCGCCUAAACACCCUCGCCUCCGUAGAGCUUGGCCUGCGCCCUGGUUUAACCAGGACUUUCAAGCAAUGAAGUGAAUAAGGAGAAGGCUAGAGCGUAGAUGGAAGAAGAACCUGACGGAUCAUAAUUGGAUAGCUGUUAAGGUCGCAACUAACCUCUACCUGAAUAAGGUAAAGGCUGCAUGUCGAUCAUUCUUCGCUAACUGGAUAAGCGAAGCAUCA
rnacentral:lncRNA from 1 species